rnacentral:pre_miRNA from 1 species
UUAGAUUUUCUUCAUUUUCUUCUGGAAUUUUUCUGGGACUCUUGUAGUUGAAAGGUUGAUGGAGAUGAUAUAAAGAUGAAGAAGAGGAAGAA